rnacentral:rRNA from 1 species
UGCGUAGGGUGCAAGCGUUAUCCGGAAUUAUUGGGCGUAAAGAGCUCGUAGGCGGUUUGUCGCGUCUGCUGUGAAAACCGGAGGCUCAACCUCCGGCCUGCAGUGGGUACGGGCAAACUAGAGUGCGGUAGGGGAGAUUGGAAUUCCUGGUGUAGCGGUGGAAUGCGCAGAUAUCAGGAGGAACACCGAUGGCGAAGGCAGAUCUCUGGGCCGUAACUGACGCUGAGGAGCGAAAGCGUGGGGAGCGAACAGG